GCGGACUGCUCGAGCUGC
rnacentral:sRNA from 1 species